rnacentral:rRNA from 1 species
GAGUUUGAUCAUGGCUCAGGACGAACGCNGGCGGCGUGCUUAACACAUGCAAGUCGAACGAGGUAGCAAUACCUAGUGGCGGACGGGUGAGUAACACGUAGGUAACCUGCCUUGUAGUGGGGGAUACCCAGCCGAAAGGUUGGCUAAUACCGCAUACCUUGGGGAGUUGGAAUACUUUUCAAGAAAGAUUUAUCGCUAUAAGAGGGGCCUGCGUAUGAUUAGCUAGUUGGUGAGGUAACGGCUCACCAAGGCGACGAUCAUUAGCUGGUCUGAGAGGACGAUCAGCCACACUGGAACUGAGACACGGCCCAGACUCCUACGGGAGGCAGCAGUGGGGAAUUUUCCGCAAUGGGCGAAAGCCUGACGGAGCAACGCCGCGUGGGUGAUGAAGUCUUUCGGGACGUAAAACCCUUUCAGCAGGGACGAAGCGAGUGACGGUACCUGCAGAAGAAGCAUCGGCUAACUACGUGCCAGCAGCCGCGGUAAUACGUAGGAUGCGAGCGUUGUCCGGAUUUAUUGGGCGUAAAGCGAACGUAGGCGGCCACUUAAGUUUGGUCUUAAAGACCGGGGCUCAACCCCGGGAAUGGACUGAAUACUGGGUGGCUAGAGGAUGUUAGAGGAAAGUGGAAUUCCAAGUGUAGCGGUGAAAUGCGUAGAUAUUUGGAGGAACACCAGUGGCGAAAGCGGCUUUCUGGGACAUUCCUGACGCUGAGGUUCGAAAGCUCGGGGAGCAAACAGGAUUAGAUACCCUGGUAGUCCGAGCCGUAAACGAUGGACACUAGGUGUCGCGGGUAUCGACCCCCGCGGUGCCGUAGCUAACGCGUUAAGUGUCCCGCCUGGGGAGUACGGUCGCAAGACUGAAACUCAAAUGAAUUGACGG